GAUGAAGAACGUAGCGAAAUGCGAUAAGUAAUGUGAAUUGCAGAAUUCAGUGAAUCAUCGAAUCUUUGAACGCACAUUGCGCCCGCCAGUAUUCUGGCGGGCAUGCCUGUUCGAGCGUCAUUUCAACCAUCAAGCCCCCGGCUUGUGUUGGGGACCUGCGGCUGCCGCAGGCCCUGAAAACCAGUGGCGGGCUCGCUAGUCACUCCGAGCGUAGUAGUUACAUCUCGCUCAGGGCGUGCUGCGGGUUCCGGCCGUUAAAAGCCUUAUUUACCCAAGGUUGACCUCGGAUCAGGUAGGAAGACCCGCUGAACUUAAGCAUAUCAAUAAGCGGAGGA
rnacentral:misc_RNA from 1 species